rnacentral:rRNA from 1 species
GACGAACGCUGGCGGCGUGCUUAACACAUGCAAGUCGAACGGUGAAGCGCAGCUUUUGUCGGGUGGAUGAGUGGCGAACGGGUGAGUAACACGUGAGUAACCUGCCCCCUUCUUUGGGAUAACGCCCGGAAACGGGUGCUAAUACUGGAUAUUCGCUGGUCAUCGCAUGGGGGCUGGGGGAAAGGGUGUUUCUGGUGGGGGUUGGGCGGACGGCCUAUCAGCUUGUUGGUGGGGUGACGGCCUACCAAGGCUUUGACGGGUAGCCGGCCUGGGAGGGUGAGAGGCCACACUGGAACUGAGACACGGACAAGACGCCUACGGGACGAAGCAGGGGGGAAUUUUGGACAAUGGGCGAAAGCCUGAUACAGUGAUGCCGCGUGUAGGAGGAAGGCAUUGGGGUUGUAAAGUUGUGAACCUCGGUAGGAAAUGGUGUAGGCUAAUACAUGGCUGUGGUGACGGUAGUGGGAGAAGAAGCACCGGCUAACUACGUG